UACGAAGGGGGCUAGCGUUGUUCGGAAUUACUGGGCGUAAAGGGCGCGUAGGCGGUGUGUCAAGUCAGGCGUGAAAGCCCCGGGCUCAACCUGGGAACCGCGCUUGAGACUGGCACGCUAGAGUUCGGGAGAGGAUGGUGGAAUUCCCAGUGAUAGAGGUGAAAUUCGUAGAUAUUGGGAGGAACACCAGUGGCGAAGGCGGCUCACUGGACCGGUUCUGACGCUGAGGCGCGAAAGCGUGGGGAGCGAACAGGA
rnacentral:rRNA from 1 species